rnacentral:rRNA from 1 species
GCAUUCAGAGGCGAUGAAGGACGAGAUAAUCUGCUAUAAGCUUCGGGUAGCUGGUAAAUGAGCUAUGACCCGGAGAUUGCCGAAUGGGGGAACCCACCUGACACAAGUUGGGUACUCACUCGAUAUAGAGUGUAGAGCGAACGAGGGGAACUGAAACAUCUAAGUACCCUUAGGAAGAGAAAUCAAUUUAGAUUCCCGUAGUAGUGGCGAGCGAAGUGGGAAGAGCCUGGUAUGAUUUAGCUGUAAUUAUAGUAGAACAAGUUGGGAAGCUUGACGAUAGAGGGUGAUAGUCCCGUAUACGAAAUAAGCACAGUGGAACUAAGCAUUCGAACAAGUAGGACGGGGCACGUGGAACCUUGUCUGAAUAUGGGGGGACCAUCCUCCAAGGCUAAAUACUCCUGAAUGA